UACGUAGGGGGCAAGCGUUGUCCGGAUUUAUUGGGCGUAAAGAGCGUGUAGGCGGUUAGGUAGGUCCGUUGUGAAAACUCGAGGCUCAACCUCGAGACGCCGAUGGAAACCAUCUGACUAGAGUCCGGAAGAGGAAAGUGGAAUUCCUGGUGUAGCGGUGAAAUGCGCAGAUAUCAGGAAGAACACCAAUGGCGAAAGCAGCUUUCUGGGACGGUACUGACGCUGAGACGCGAAAGCGUGGGGAGCGAACAGG
rnacentral:rRNA from 1 species